rnacentral:rRNA from 1 species
CCUACGGGAGGCAGCAGUGAGGAAUAUUGGUCAAUGGCCGGGAGACUGAACCAGCCAAGCCGCGUGAAGGAUGAAGGUACAGAGCAUCGUAAACCUCUUUUGUCAGGGAACAAAGGCGGGGACGUGUCCCCGGCUGAGUGUACCUGAAGAAACAGCAUCGGCUAACUCCGUGCCAGCAGCCGCGGUAAUACGGAGGAUGCGAGCGUUAUCCGUAUUUAUGGGGGUUAAUGGGUGCGCAGGCGGACUGUUAAGUCAGCGGUAAAAGCACGGGGCUCAACCCCGGCCCGCCGUUGAAACUGGCAGUCUCGAGUUGGAGAGAAGUAUGCGGAAUGCGCGGUGUAGCGGUGAAAUGCAUAGAGAUCGCGCAGAACUCCGAUUGCGAAGGCAGCAUGCCGGCUCCACACUGACGCUGAGGCACGAAAGCGUGGGUAUCGAACAGGAUUAGAUACCCGUGUAGUC